UACGUAGGGUGCAAGCGUUGUCCGGAAUUACUGGGCGUAAAGGGCUCGUAGGCGGCCAACUAAGUCGGAUGUGAAAUCCCCAGGCUCAACUUGGGAACUGCAUCCGAUACUGGAUGGCUUGAAUUCGGGAGAGGGAUGCAGAAUUCCAGGUGUAGCGGUGAAAUGCGUAGAUAUCUGGAGGAAUACCGGUGGCGAAGGCGGCAUCCUGGACCGACAUUGACGCUGAGGAGCGAAAGCUAGGGGAGCAAACGGG
rnacentral:rRNA from 1 species